rnacentral:pre_miRNA from 1 species
AUUAGGAGAAUGACAAAUUAGAUUUUUUUCUAUUGAUUUUUAGCUUUUUCUUCCUGAAAAAUUUCAAAUCCAACUAAAACUGUUAAAAAUUAGGAAGAAAAUUUUGAUUUGUCAUCCUCCUAUU